GCCUGGGUGGCUCAGUCGGUUAAGCGUCUGACUUCGGCUCAGGUCAUGAUCUCACAGUUCGUGGGUUCGAGCCCCACAUCGGGCU
rnacentral:tRNA from 1 species